UGGGGAAUAUUGCACAAUGGAGGGAACUCUGAUGCAGCGACGCCGCGUGAACGAAGAAGGCUUUCGAGUCGUAAAGUUCUUUUAUAUGGGAAGAUAAUGACGGUACCAUAAGAAGAAGCCCCGGCUAACUACGUGCCAGCAGCCGCGGUAAUACGUAGGGGGCUAGCGUUGUCCGGAAUCACUGGGCGUAAAGGGUUCGCAGGCGGAAAUGCAAGUCAGGUGUAAAAGGCAGUAGCUUAACUACUGUAAGCAUUUGAAACUGCAUAUCUUGGGAAGAGUAGAGGUAAGUGGAAUUUUUAGUGUAGCGGUGAAAUGCGUAGAGAUUAAAAAGAAUACCGGUGGCGAAGGCGACUUACUGGGCUCAUUCUGACGCUGAGGAACGAAAGCGUGGGUAGCAAACAGG
rnacentral:rRNA from 1 species